AGUCAGGCCGGUGGGCACGCGGGCAAGGCCUGGCCGGGGGCGUGCGGGUGGAGAAGGCGGCGGGGGCCUGGUCCCCACUGAGGGGCCCCUGCUGGUUUCGGAGCAGGGAGAUGAGAGGAAGAGAGGUUCCGGUUCCUGAGGGCGGCCCUCUCCCCAUCCCCCCCGGCCAGGCCUUGCGGCCAGAAGGGAGGUGACACCACAGCCCGGGUGGCCUCGUUGGCCAGGGAGCAUAUUCAGGGGGCUGCCACACUGGAGAGGGCCUCGGGUGCGCCUGUGCCACGGGCAGGGGGAGCUCUCCAUCCUCAGAUCCAUGCCGACCUGGAGGUCGUCAGGCCGCCUGGUGGCAGUUGGAGGUCCCACUGAGUCUUUAGAGCUGAGCCUGUGGCCACAAGCAGCCCAAGGCUUGGCUUUGGGCCAUUUCUUCAGUCUCCUGAGGCUCAAAUACACAGUUUGGAGGAGAGAGAGAAAGAGGCAAGGGGAAGAGAGGAGAGGGGCAGAGGGAAGCUUUCAAGUAGAAUCCUUGCUGAGCAUGGAACCUGACGCCGGACCUGAUCCCACCAUCCAUGAGAUCAAGACCUGAGCUUGACCAACUGAACCACCCAGGCUGCCUCUCAAGCAACGAAGAAACAGCGAGAGAACCGGACGAGGAGUGGAGCCGAGGGACUGAAUGGCUGUGAGCUCAGCACCAAACGUGAACGGACGAGCAGGUGCUUCUCAGGGACGAGCCAAGAAAGUGGUUUCCCGAGUUGGCCUCUUCCUGGUGGACACACCGUGAAGACGGUUGAAACGACAACCAAGGAUUGGGAGCAGGACAGCAGCUUAGCUGGUGCAGCCCCCGGGCCCGAGGACGGACUGUUCUGAAGGCGGCUCUCCGGGGGGUGCAGUGCCACCGAGCAGCACCGCCGGCUGCAGGGAAACCGUCCGUGCCGGGAGAGCCAUCGAUGCGGCAAACUGCACGGUUGGCUUGUUUUAAGGAAUAAAACGAGACACAGCCGUCCGGCCUCCAGCGCCCACCACCCUGAUGGGUCAGCCCCCGGCGGCGCCAAGACCCUCCACCAGCAGAAAGAUCAGGACUCGCUGAAAGCUCAGAUGGCGGUCAGCGGGUUUCAGCAAUAAAGUGUCUUUCGAUGAAGGCGUGUAGGUUCUAGUUUUAAAAUUCCUUGGGCCCACUUUAUUGCAAUAUUCGCUUUCAUGCAAAUGGAACCAAACCCACAGUAUC